AUUGAACGCUGGCGGCAGGCCUAACACAUGCAAGUCGACCGCGUGGCGGACGGGUGAGUAAUGUCUGGGAAACUGCCCGAUGGAGGGGGAUAACUCCUGGAAACGGUAGCUAAUACCAAAUACCAUCGGCUGUUCCCAGAUGGGCUUAUCUAGUAGGUGGGGUAACGGCUCACCUAGGCGACGAUCCCUAGCUGGUCUGAGAGGUUGACCAGCCACACUGGAACUGAGACACGGGCCAGACUCCUACGGGAGGCAGCAGUGGGGAAUAGUGCACAAUGGGCGCAAGCCUGAUGCAGCAAUGCCGCGUGAAUGAAGAAGGUCUUCGGGUUGUAAAAUACUUUUAGCGAGGAGGCGUUACUCGCAGAAGAAGCACCGGCUAACUCCGUGCCAGCAGCCGCGGUAAUAC
rnacentral:rRNA from 1 species